GUGAGGACUUGUUGAACUCCAGGCUACCUUGCUUUGUGUACCGUGGUAAGCCAAGCACAAGGACACAUUCCAAGAGCGAACACAAAUACAAAAGAACAACCUGUUAAAACUAGUGUCAAGUUCAGAAAAAGCAAGGCUGUUGGCAUUUGUUUGAAUAUGUUUAGCCUUAUUCUUCUGUCAAAUAGGUGAUGAGCAAGUCAGACAAUUCAGGGUUUUGGCAAUGGCAGAAUGUAGAAGGCAAGAAUAUUUUAAGGAUGUGCUGUAAUGAGAAGGCAUAACCUAUUUAAUUUAUUACAGUAAAAUAAAUGAAGCUGUAAAUACACCUUCUGGAAAUGCACCCAUUUCAUAUUUUCCUUUGACUGUUUUUAUACUGUUGGUCUUUUUCAGGAAUAAGAAGACAAGCUGAUGGGAUCUCUAGAAAGAACGGUCUGCUUGUCAUCACCAGAAAUUAUCCUUCCACAAGAUCACAGGAAUAAAAGCUGAUCAAGCAAUGAUUUUUUCCAUAUUUACUGGAGGGGCCUGCUGCCACUGGAGAGCCACAGAUGACAUCACGACCAAACAGCCAAUAACAAACUGAGGGGUUUGGGUGGCAGUUUAUCCUGAAGACAGAAUGGAAAACACCUGUAUGAAGAUGUAUGCGACAGGCUUGUGUGAGUGGCCUCCAGACACUUCUGCUGUGUACGAUCAGGACAGGAAACCUAGAUGGUUGCGUUUACUGCUUCUGACACUGCAAACAACUGGAGUACCUGCUAAGGUGGGUAUGGCUGCUGUAUUAUACAUGUUACUUUUGUUGCCGUGCUAAAGAAUUACUCAGAUUAAGACCUGCCACUGAGAAGUAUGAACAUAUUACUCAGAAUAAAACCUAGUGCUAAGAAUUACUAGAUUAAAACCUAGCGCCUUAACAUACAACAAAGUUACUUGCAUCAAAAAAGGCCUUCUCA